GAUGAACGCUGGCGGCGUGCCUAAUACAUGCAAGUCGAGCGAACAGACGAGGAGCUUGCUUCUCUUACGCUAGCGGCGGACGGGUGAGUAACACGUGGAUAACCUACCUAUAAGACUGGGAUAACUUCGGGAAACCGGAGCUAAUACCGGAUAAUAUAUUGAACCGCAUGGUUCAUUAGUGAAAGACGGUUUUGCUGUCACUUAUAGAUGGUUCCGGGCCGCAUUAGCUAGUUGGUAAGGUAACGGCUUACCAAGGCAACGAUGCGUAGCCGACCUGAGAGGGUGAUCGGCCACACUGGAACUGAGACACGGUCCAGACUCCUACGGGAGGCAGCAGUAGGGAAUCUUCCGCAAUGGGCGAAAGCCUGACGGAGCAACGCCGCGUGAGUGAUGAAGGUCUUCGGAUCGUAAAGCUCUGUUAGUUGGGAGGAACAAAUGUGUAAGUAACCAUGCACGUCUUGACGGUACCUAAACAGAAAGCCACGGCUAACUACGUG
rnacentral:rRNA from 1 species